rfam:Oryza barthii chromosome 8, whole genome shotgun sequence.
GAUUUCAACUAAAAAAGUUAUCAACAACAAAGUUGAAUAACUCAUCAAGAUCUAAAACUUUUAUUUUAGUCAUUUCUUCAUCUGAUAAAAUGUUAGUAAUAUUGUUCACAAAUUUUACAUAUAUGUGUUAUAGUUUAUAAAACCAGAUAAGAGAGAUGUCAAUUUUGUGAACAAUGUUACUAUCACUUUAUCAGAUGAAGAAAUGACCAAAAUAAUAGUUUUAGAUCUUGAUGAGUUAUUCAACUUUGUUGUUGAUAACUUUUUCAGUUGAAAUC